AGCGUAUAUUAAAGUUGUUGCAGUUAAAAAGCUCGUAGUUGAAUUUCGGGGUCAGUAGGUUGGUCGUGCCACCGGUACGUACUGGUCUCACUGAUUCCUCCUUCCUGAUGAGCUGUAAUGCCAUUAAUUUGGUGUUGCAGGGAAUCUGGACUGUUACUUUGAAAAAAUUAGAGUGUUUAAAGCAGGCUAACGCUUGAAUACAUUAGCAUGGAAUAAUGAAAUAGGACGUUCGAUCCUAUUUUGUUGGUUUCUAGGAUUGACGUAAUGAUUAAUAGGGAUAGUUGGGGGCAUUAGUAUUCAAUUGUCAGAGGUGAAAUUCUUGGAUUUAUUGAAGACUAACUACUGCGAAAGCAUUUGCCAAGGAUGUUUUCAUUAAUCAAGAACGAAAGUUAGGGGAUCGAAGACGAUCAGAUACCGUCGUAGUCUUAACCAUAAACUAUGCCGACUAGGGAUCGGAUGAUGUUAAUUUUUUAAUGACUC
rnacentral:rRNA from 1 species